rnacentral:rRNA from 1 species
UACGUAGGGUGCAAGCGUUGUCCGGAAUUAUUGGGCGUAAAGAGCUCGUAGGCGGUCUGUCGCGUCGGCUGUGAAAACCCGGGGGCUCAACCCCGGGCCUGCAGUCGAUACGGGGCAGACUAGAGUGCGGUAGGGGAGACUGGAAUUCCUGGUGUAGCGGUGAAAUGCGCAGAUAUCAGGAGGAACACCGGUGGCGAAGGCGGGUCUCUGGGCCGUAACUGACGCUGAGGAGCGAAAGCGUGGGGAGCGAACAGG